UACGUAGGGGGCAAGCGUUGUCCGGAUUUAUUGGGCGUAAAGAGCGUGUAGGCGGCCAGAUAGGUCCGUUGUGAAAACUGGAGGCUUAACCUCCAGCGGUCGAUGGAAACCAUUUGGCUAGAGUCCGGAAGAGGAGAGUGGAAUUCCUGGUGUAGCGGUGAAUGCGCAGAUAUCAGGAAGAACACCCGUGGCGAAAGCGGCUCUCUGGAACGGUACUGACGCUGAGACGCGAAAGCGUGGGGAGCGAACAGG
rnacentral:rRNA from 1 species